rnacentral:rRNA from 1 species
UUCCGGNUGAUCUUGCCGGAGGUUACUGCUAUCGAGGUUCGACUAAGCCAUGCGAGUCGAAUGCCGCAAGGCAUGGCGUACUGCUCAGUAACACGUGGACAACCUACCCUUAGGACUGGGAUAACCCCGGGAAACUGGGAAUAAUCCCUGAUAGUCCUCGAAGGCUGGAACGCAUCGAGGGCGAAAGCUCCGGCGCCUAAGGAUGGGUCUGCGGCCUAUCAGGUAGUAGUGGGUGUAGCGUACCUACUAGCCUACGACGGGUACGGGUUGUGAGAGCAAGAGCCCGGAGAUGGAUUCUGAGACACGAAUCCAGGCCCUACGGGGUGCAGCAGGCGCGAAAACUUUACAAUGCUGGCAACAGCGAUAAGGGAACCUCGAGUGCCAGGUUACAAAUCUGGCUGUCGAGAUGCCUAAAAAGCAUUUCAUAGCAAGGGCCGGGCAAGACCGGUGCCAGCCGCCGCGGUAACACCGGCGGCUCGAGUGGUAACCGUUAUUAUUGGGUCUAAAGGGUCUGUAGCCGGCCGGAUAAGUCUCUUGGGAAAUCCGGCAGCUCAACUGUCAGGCUAUCAGGAGAUACUGUCUGGCUCGAGGCCGGG